AAAAUCUAUACAAUGGAGUGUUGGUGCUGUGGUACCAUUUAUUGGGUUUGCAGUCGCAAUGUUCAUGUUUUACUCUCUAGUUCCAAUUUUACUGAAGAUCAGUGGUUCAACAAUGCUAAACCUUUCAUUGCUAGCCUCAGACAUGUGGGCUAUUCUCAUCCGUGUGUUUGCCUACCAUGAAAAGGUCGACUGGAUGUACUAUGUGGCAUUCGGUGUAGUUGCAAUUGGGCUGGUUAUUUACUCAGG